GCUUACGGCCAUACCACCUUGGGCACGCCCGAUCUCGUCUGAUCUCGGAAGCUAAGCAGGGUCGGGCCUGGUUAGUACUUGGAUGGGUGACUGCCUGGGAAUACCAGGUGCUGUAAGCA
ensembl:rRNA 5S_rRNA 5S ribosomal RNA